rnacentral:rRNA from 1 species
CUCGAGGCCAGAUCUUUCCGGUUGAUCCCGCCGGACCUGACUGCUAUCGGAUUGAUACUAAGCCAUGCGAGUCUUUGUAGCAAUACAAGGCAGACGGCUCAGUAACACGUAGUCAAUCUACCCUAUGGACGGGGAUAACCUCGGGAAACUGAGAAUAAUACCCGAUAGAUCAUUAUGCCUGGAAUGGUUUAUGGUCGAAAUGAUUUAUCGCCGUAGGAUGGGACUGCGGUCUAUCAUCUUGUUGGUGAGGUAAUGGCCCACCAAGGCUAUAACAGAUACGGGCUCUGAGAGGAGAAGCCCGGAGAUGGGUACUGAGACACGGACCCAGGCCCUAUGGGGCGCAGCAGGCGAGAAAACUUUGCAAUGUGCGAAAGCACGACAAGGUUAAUCCGAGUGUUUUAUGCUAAAGAAAUCUUUUGUCAGUCCUAAAAGCACUGAUGAAUAAGGGGUGGGCAAGUUCUGGUGUCAGCCGCCGCGGUAAAACCAGCACCUCAAGUGGUCAGGAGGAUUAUUGGGCCUAAAGCAUCCGUAGCCGGCCGUGUAAGUUUUCGGUUAAA